AAAACACACUUCCCGGGAUUGCUUCGACUCCACUCACUCAUACUGUAGUCUCUCUCUCUCUGCUUAGCUCUCCCACCAUAACCUAACUUUAAUCCAAAUCCAACUGCACCAUUACUAUAACAGAAAUACUCUACCGACCCCCACCCCCAAUUACUUCCAUUCCAUAUACUGCCCAAAAUCCACCAGCAAUUUACUCUCUUUCACGAUUAUCACUUGAAGUCCUGUCUCUGUGUGUGUGUGUGUGUGUGUGUGUGUGUGUGAGAGAGAGAGAGAGAGAGAGAGAGAGAGAGAGAGAGAGAGAGAUGGAAUUGGAGCAGCUCCAAAUGGACAAAGGGGCAUCGACGACCUUCGACGAGUUGUCCAUGGAACGUAGCAAGAAUUUCGUCAAAGCCUUGCAGGAACUCAAGAAUUUGAGGCCUCAACUUUAUUCCGCUGCAGAAUACUGCGAGAAAUCUUAUCUGCACAGUGAUCAGAAACAGAUGGUCCUUGACAACCUGAAGGAUUAUGCCGUGAGAACCCUCGUGAAUGCUGUUGACCACCUUGGCACUGUGGCUUACAAAUUAACUGAUCUACUUGACCAACAAUCCAUAGAUGUCUCAACUAUGGAGCUCAAGGUGUUAUGUCUAAAUCAGCAACUACUAACAUGCCAAACAUACACGGAUAAAGAAGGUCUCCGGCAGCAGCAGUUGUUAGCAUUGAUCCCAAGGCAUCAUAAGCAUUACAUUUUGCCAAAUUCUGUGAACAAGAAGGUACAUUUUAGCCCACACAUACAGACAGAUGCUAGGCAAAGUCAUAUUCAAACAAGACCUCGACUUUACCCUUCGGGCUCUCCUGCAAAUACUCUGUCUUGGCAUUUAGAAUCAGAAACUACCUUAAAAGCAGCCCCAUGUGGUCUGACAAGCAGUGAAGAUGAAAAAACUUCCGGAAAAACUUAUGGGGUCUUCCACUUAGUGGAUGCUAAAGAAAGUACUCUAAUGAAAUCCCCAGCUGCUCAUCUCAAGUGGUCCGGUGGAGGUCACGCUUCAAGUACAGCACGGAUGGACUCUGUAGAGGGUUCCAGACCUUUGACGCCUUUCAGGUCACAUGUCAACCCAAGCCGGAGAGAGAUUGUCCAGGCACCCGUCCGCAGCAAGAGCCUGCUCUCAUCUUUCUUUGUGAAACAUAAGACUACCAAACACAAGACUUUCUCAUGAAUCCGCACUCAAGCAAGUCAAGUAUGGUUGUUAUAACAAACAGAUGAUCAUUAACUCCUCACGAAUCGUUGUCUACUAUCCUUUCAUUCUCCCCUUAAUAACAAGCAGAUGAUCAUUAUAGUCUUGUAGUGAUUGGCUCGGACUAGUGUAAGGUGCGAGUUUUCAACUUACGAAAGUACUCUGUCUUGUGGUUUAGUAGUGUUCUAUGUAUGUAUAGUCAAUUAGCUGGCUGUCCUAUUCUGAAUAAUUUUCCACGUUAAUGGUGCGAAUAAGAGCCAGGCCGCUGAAAAAUGCUGUUACAGCCCAUCAAUCAAUCAUUAAGCUCUAUCCUCGUACAACAUUGCAUUCAUGCAUGUUGGGAUUGGAACUAACUAAAAUGCCGAAACGACCUCCAUCAAGUUUUUUUUUUCUUGAUCUGCACCUCCAUCAUUUUAGAACCAAAAGAUUUACAAGAAACUUGACCACCAAAGAGAACAUCCUCCGAAAAUGAUUCUCAAAGGACGAAGAUUACUCUGCAUAUGUUCUUUUAAGCAGUACCAAUGUGUUCCUUGUGAGGUGAAAUAACGGCUGUGAUUGCACCAAACUACAUCAGGAGGGUUUUGCAAUUUUGAUGCUUUUGGACUCCAAUUACGGGGUCAUGAUAGAUAAAGUGAGAGGGCAGUACUGCAGUGGGGUCGAAGAGAAGUUCCCAGAAAGUUAAAUAGAGCUCCAGGUUGCAUAACAAUGACUGAGAUUUGGCUACACAUAUCCAUUUGUGGCCGGCUCCGGCUGUGAUGCCCCAGGGCGGUAUUGGGGCAUCAUGCCCCCGUUUUUCUUGAAGCGUUGGAUAUUCCUUAUUCAAUCUCAAUCAUUCAUUACGCCCCCCCUCUCUCUCUCCUAUAUACCGGUUGAAAAGAGCAUUCGAAAGCCCUCAAUUUUUUGGCAACCUCUCUCUCUAUCUUCUCCCGCCUCACCACUGCGCCUCUGCCACGGCAAACGGCGACAUUCGCCACGAAGGCCCCGCUGGCGAACACAACAUCCUCUACCGACGACCCGCCCUCCGAUCUGGAAUUCCGAUCGUCACUCGACGAUGCGUGGUACACCGCUCGGGUGGUGCUCGAAGAAAGUACCAACACGCUCGUCGUGGAGUUCGACAACUUCUACGAUUGGAAUGACAAGAGGUUCUCCGCCACGGGCUUUCCAAGCGCCAAGGCCGUGGACAAGUUCCUCGGGAGAGUGCGGCCGCUGUCGCAGCAGUUGCAAGAUGACCAGUGCUCCAGGGUCUUUGAAGGGAUGACUGUCUGUGCGUUGUUCAAGUUUGAAAAUGAUGAGACGCCGUUGUUGAAGCGGUGAGUGAAUUGCUCCUUUAGCGGAGUAUCCCGUGGUUCUGCUUUGGGUUAUGGACUAUCAAGAUCAACGUUGAAUUUUUAUUGUGGAUUCUCCGUGCUGCAAGUUGAACUUUUUGUUUGGUUAUCCAUUUGUUUGGAUACAAUUUGUUGUCCAUUUCUUUGUAUACCGUGCUUCGAUUUUUGGUUUUUCCCCUUGGCCUUGUUGUGUUUAAAGCCGCUAAUUGUGAAAUCGGCUUGCGAAUAUUGGAUGUCUUAUCACAAAUACUGAAUGUACUUACCACGAAUAAUGGAUGCACUUACUUAAAA